CCUAGCGGCGGACGGGUGAGUAAUGCUUAGGAAUCUGCCUAUUAGUGGGGGACAACAUUCCGAAAGGAAUGCUAAUACCGCAUACGCCCUACGGGGGAAAGCAGGGGAUCUUCGGACCUUGCGCUAAUAGAUGAGCCUAAGUCGGAUUAGCUAGUUGGUGGGGUAAAGGCCUACCAUGGCGACGAUCUGUAGCGGGUCUGAGAGGAUGAUCCGCCACACU
rnacentral:rRNA from 1 species